AACGCACCUUGCGCUCCUUGGUAUUCCGAGGAGCAUGCCUGUUUGAGUGUCAUUAAAUUCUCAACCUCACCCGUUUUCUGAACGGUUCUCCGAGGCUUGGAUGUGGGGGUUUGUGCAGGCUGCCUCAGCGCGGUCUGCUCCCCUGAAAUGCAUUAGCGAGUUCGUACUGAGCUCCGUCUAUUGGUGUGAUAAUUAUCUACGCCGUGGACAGGGUUUAGACUCGCUUCUAACCGUCCGCAAGGACAAUACCUUUGACAAUUUGACCUCAAAUCAGGUAGGACUACCCGCUGAACUUAA
rnacentral:misc_RNA from 1 species